UAUAUAAUUCUUCAAGAUCUGUCAUUUUCCUGCAAGUAUAAGGUGACUGUCCAACCAAUACGGCCAAAAAGUCACUCCAAGGCAGAAGCUGUUUUCUUCACUACUCCACCAUGCUCUGCUCUUAAGGGGAAGAGCCACAAGCCUGUUGGCUGCCCUGGUGAAGCAGGUCGUGUUCUUUCUAAGGUGCUAGCUAAGCCUGAGAACCUUUCUGCUUCAUUCAUCAUCCAGGAUGUGAACAUCACCGGUCACUUUUCUUGGAAGAUGGCCAAGGCCAAUCUCUAUCAGCCCAUGACUGGGUUUCAAGUGACUUGGGCUGAGGUCACUACGGAAAGCAGACAGAACAGCCUACCCAACAGCAUUAUUUCACAAUCCCAGAUCCUGCCUUCCGUAGGUCCCACCUCUUGUACUAUGUCCGUGUCAUUGGUAUCUACUGCUCCUUUUUACUGACCUUCGGAGGUGGCUACCUCUGUCAUUCUGUGUGCUGUACUAUUGAGUCUUAUUUUUGCAUUUUCUUCUUCUGAGUGUAUCUUUUGCAAGCAUUAACACAUCACAAAUGUGACUGCAUAGCUAAGAAGUAGCAUAAGCUGCCAUCUAGAUAAAGUUUGAUGGCUAGAGCCAACUCAUGAAAAGACCUUACCCUAUCUUGUAUAUAAGUGAUUGAGCCAUUUUCUUCUAUCUUUGUUAACCUCAUGUCUCUCUGGUCCAAGUGGACAUGCCCUGUUUGAAGUGUUGAAUUGGGGAGAGCAGGAAUAGCUGAAAGAAGCUUGUUGUUUGUCCGUUUUCCCUGCAACUUCAAA
rnacentral:sRNA from 1 species